GAGCCUGGCCACUCUCAGGUGAAGUCUCCCGGAAGAAGGGAACGACCCGGGACAGGCUUGCCCGCCGGCGGGACGCCCCUGUUCCCCCGCUGGCUUUAUCCGCCACCCCGCCGACAAAACCCCCGGCCCGGGUCAGCGCCGUGGUUUGCUUCUUCAGGAACUUCUCCAGCGGCUUCAUCCCUGCAGGCAUGGAAGGAUCCUGCCAGCCCACAUCAAACCCCUGAUCAAGAACUUGUGAGUCUUCAGGCGGAAAUGAUGUAAACAUCCAAUGACUCGGACACCUUAUUAGAGAGGCGAUCAUUCCAGUCCACAGUGAACACCUGAACAUACAAGUCUUCAAGCAAAACCGAUGAUAUGCAUGCUUUAAGUUCCGGUCUUAUGGACACCAUGUUUGGGUGAGCCUGCCCCAUGGUGAGCGCCCUCUUCAGGUCUGGACUCUGUGACUCAUUACUCUUGAUGGAUCGAGGGCAAGUGGGACAUCUUUCCGUGAUGUUUAUUCAUUCCACCAUAAAAUACCUUUACUGCCGCUAUCCUUUGUACAUAUGGACACAUGCUGUAUUUUCAAGGUUUCAACACUACUCUGAGUUAACUGGACUAGUUUCUUGCUUCGGGGCCAGUUCCAACAGUUGUUUCACAGAGAAUGCCUAAAUGCAAAGAUAGUUUCUUAAGCUUUGUCAAUGAUAGUCUGUAUCUUGGUUUACUGUGAGCUUAUUUGUUUUUUUUUCAUUGUAAUUUACCAUCAGCAAUUACGGAAUGUAAAAUCUAUGCCAACCAACCGUAAUUUGUAAUAUAUUUUGCUUAUUUUUUGCAAGGAAUUUCUGGCAAACACAGCUGUCGGUAAUUUACUGAUCAUUUCAAAUACAACAAUAAAAUACUGUAAUAUAG